ensembl:miRNA gga-mir-6625 gga-mir-6625
CUAACAUCACGGGUAGCUUCUGUCCUUGGGGGAACUGGAAGCAAGAGUCAGGAGGGAUGCUGAUUGCUGGUUUCUAUCUCCCCGCAGCGGCUGGAUUGCAGCAAUCUCCU